ensembl:lncRNA
CUUUUCUAUUAUAGUGAUAAAAUGGUGUGAUCAAGGCAACUUGUAGAAGGAAGGGCCUAUUUAUAGUUCCUGUUCUUCUCAUGUCUCCUGAUCUAUAUGUCCUUCUACCUUCCCUUAAAUUUAGUGAUUUUCUUUUCUCUGAGAUCAGUGAUUAUCUAAUAAGUCCAGAAAAUGGUUUCUAGACUUCCAAGAAAUAGUUAAGUAUGAUUUUCCUAAAACAGGCUUUUGGGUUACAGUGGAGAGUUUUCAUUUUGGGGAUUUCCACUGACCAUCAACAUCCAGAGGAAACUUCAAGGCCCACAUCAUGGUUUCAGCAUCAGAGCUGUGACUAGAGCCUCUUCACAAUGAAGCUUCACAUCACAGGAUAUCAGAUGAUGCCACAGUUCACCAGAUGUCCAAGGAAAAUGGGCUCUCUUUUUCAUGGUCAUCCAUCACCCUGCUGACUAAUUUCCCAAAAGGUUCCUGUAAACUUCUGGUAGAGCUGAAAUCAGGCUAUGCCCCAGAAACUCUGCUCAGUUUAUCUUCUCCUGGGACCUGAGCUCUACGUGUGGCUGUACUGCCUUUUCCUGUGGAACCUAAUUUCUUCUUGAGAUUGGUGUGUUCAAAGGGGAAUGAAAUUCAGUUUAGGGAUGUUUACCUGGGUGCUGAAACUAUAAAGAAGCACAGCAGUGGCAAGCACAGAAGACAACAGUGAUUUCUGAAGGGGAUGUGAAGGCUGUGGCCAUAUGGUUUACAAAGAGUGCUGGAGGCGCCAGGAGCAGCUCCUUGUCUUAAUUUGAGUAUAUUGUUGCUCAUUGUGCUGUGGCCUUUUGAAUUUGUUCACUUCAUAAAGUUAUUCUCUUUAUAUACAGUGUUCCCUUCACAUUUCACAACUGAACUUAGUUCAUAAAAAAGGACCAACAAAAAAUGGUCUAAAUAAGACAUUUGAAAGUGGUUUCUAGUCAUGUUUCUGCUGUGUGGUGGGAGACUAGUAUGUUGUUUUUUAGAAGGAACCUCAUUCAGAAAAUAAUGGUGAUGAAGGUAAAGGUGCAAUUAAUUAAAUUAUUUUCCAUGGAAAAGCAUGGGCUUGGAGCCUGAGGUGGUUCAUCUUGUCAAUUUAGGUGGAUUAAGAAACACCUCUGGGAUUAGUAAAGCACACACCUCUGGGUGUGUUGAUGAUGACAUUUUUAGGGACAAUUAGGAUUAAUCCCCUGCCAGAGUUUUUAAGGUGGCAUUAUUGGAAAGUGGUGAAGGGAGGAUAUGGGGCCCAGCUAGAGGAAGCAGGUCACUGGAGGAGGGGUAUGGGGCUGUAUCUUGCUCUGGCCUCUCUCCCUGUGUGUCUGUUCUCUGCUUACUGGCCACCCUGAUGUGAGCAGGACAGCUCUGUCCCUUCUUCCCCAUCAGGAUGAGUGGAUACCUCCUAGGCCAAGUCAACACAUGUUUCUUUCUUUAAGUUGUCUCUGCCAUGUCUCUCACAGAGAUACAGAUAUAAGUCCGAAGACCGACUCAUCAGCAUUCAUAUCCCACCAUCCCUUAAGUCUAGUGUCAUGAUGUUGGGCAGAUUAUUGAAUAUGCCUCAGUCUUAGUCUCUCUCCUUUCCAAGGAGAGGGAAGGACUUGCUAACUACCCAUAGGGGUAUGGUCUUUCCUCACUACUCCAGAUAUUAUUGGAAAACUAUCCCGGAAGUACCAGAGCACACACACUACAUGGUGUAGAGGUUGGGAGUAUUUAAUCACAUGCAUAUGUACAUGCAAACAUACAAGCUUGACACUUAAUAGUGAUGUUAUUAUACCAGUGAUUAUGAGUGGCUAUGCAUUGUAUCUCACAGAACUUAACUUGAAAAUUCAUGUAUUCUAGAAUAUUUGGAAGACUUGAUAUGAGAGAGGCUUAUAGUAAGGUGAUUUGUGUGGCUAUCAGGACCUGAUGGUAAAGUCAAAAUGAUAGCAUUACCUCCCCACUUAGAUAGGAUUUUAUCCAUAUCCAGCAUUUCUAAUGAAAGUACAUCUGCCGUAAAUACAAAUAUUCCUUUGCCCCAAGUCCUGAUGAAUAAUUUACAGUUAUAAUUUCUUACUCGACACUUUCCUAAAUUAUUGUUGGAUAUAUCAUUCACACACACACACACACACACACACACACACACACACACACACACACACACACACACAAACACACACUGAGAAUUGUUUAAUGAGAAAUUUAUUUUAUAUAGAAAAGAACAUGUUAAAAUCCAUUUCCUAUAAAAUUUUUCUCUGAUCUUAGGUGCCAUGGCAAACUGUCACGUCAGGCCCUACUGUAACAUGAAUAAAUAAGUUUCCCAGAGACUGAUACUAGAGUUCUAGAUGAAUGUCAGAAAAGCAAAGCAGCCAGCCACUACCUCUCACCUCUAGCCUGGGCUGAAAGGGCUGUUCCAGGAACGAGCUCUUCAUCAAGUCUCAAACUGCUGCCUCUCCUCAGUGUGGCUAGAGAACUAAAAGUCUUUCUAAGACCUUGCUUCUAUCUUAUAUACAUUCCUAAUGUUGGGAUUAAAGGUGUGCGCUAUAGUUCUCUUUUAGACUGAUUCACCCUUGUGUAGAUCUGGGUGGAAGAGUGCUAGUGUAUGUUAUAAAGCACUGUAUGCUAGAAGUAUACCAUUUGCUUGUUGCUUUUACAAGGAGUUGCAAUUAAAAGAUUACCUGAUGUCUCAGAAGAAACUUUGGACUUUGAAAUGGUGUUGAGACUGUAAAAGACUAUGGGGACUUUUGAAGUUUGGCUAAAUGCAUUUUAUGUUUUGAUAUGUCACAAGACUGUGGGGAACAGGGUGUGGAAUGUGGUGGUUUGAAUGAGAAUGGCCUCCAUAAGCAUAAAUAUUUAAAUGUUUGGUACCAAGCUUUGUGGAACUGUUGGAAGGAUUAGGAUGUAUGACCUUAUUGGAGGAGGUGUGUCACAGUGAUUGAGCUUUGAGAUUUCAAAGGCUCAUGCCAUUCUCCGUUCUCUCUCUCUCUCUCUCUCUCUCUCUCUCCCUUAUGCCUGUGGAUCAGGAUGUAAGCUCUGAGUUACUGCUCUAGUGUCAUGCCUACUUGUCUGCUGCCAUGUUCCCUGCCAUAAUGAUCAUGGAUUCUAACCCUCUGCAUCCAUGUGUCCUGGUAGAUUCUUCCUUUUGUAAUUUGCCUUGGUCAUGGUGUCUGCGCAACAAUAGAAAAGUAACUAAGACACUCUGAUUUCAGAAAACCUCUAAAGUUUAUAAAAACUUUAAUAACUUCACUGGCUUUUUGUUUCAUGGAUUUAUUUUCUUAAUGUAAUUUAUGAUACUUCAUAAUUAUUAUGUGUAAAUAUGUAUGCUUUUCCCUGCUUACAAAGCUCUCUUCUAAUUUUUAUUUUAUUAUUAUUUUUUUUAUGCCAGCAUGUAGGUUUGUAUACCACAUGCAUGCCUGGUGCAUGUGGUAUAGAGACUGACCAUAAGAAGGCUUUAGAUUCCUGGAACUGGAAUUAUAGACAGUUCUGAGUUACCACAUUAGUUCUUGGAAUCAGAGCCAGGUCCACAGGAAGAGUAAUCAGUACUAUUACCACUGAGCUAUCCUUCCAGUCCUUGCAGAAAGAUUCUAUUGAAUUUUUUCUAAUGAAGAAGAGACUCCUUCACUGUACAAGCUCAACACAACCCUCUUUCCUACCACAGCCAUCAAGAGCUUAGUUGUGAAAACUUGAAAUCCUCAUGAGCCUUUGUCACGAGGUAGAUCUUGGCCCAUCCCUCAUUCUUGCAUGUCUUUGAAUAUUCUCCAUUAUAGCACCACAGCAGAAAGUAUGUGGUAGAACCUUUGAUCCCAACUAUGUGGUCUCUGUAUUAGGUAAAUUCUAAGUGAGUUCUUGGUCCCUAUAAAUUUUAUGGUCUCCAAAGUAACGAUACUCUUCAAUAGCUCUAUUUCACUCCCCUUGUCAACAGCAUAUUUUGAACAUGCACACAUUUCCUUGAAUUAAUGAGAUUACCAUCCCCCCCCCACUGUGUGUAAUUCCUUCUUCUAAUUCAGUGCUACCUAACUCCAGUAACAGGUUGGGUUGAAAAUUCACUCCAUAAAUGAAACAAAUGUUCAUUUCCCCCUCAAUUUCAUCUAUUUUAAUCCAAAAAUUCUUUAGGAUGGAGAUACACUGAUUGAAACCAGUGAAACACACAGAAACAUGGUUAAUUAAUCUAUUCUGCAUUAAGCAAAGGACCAGUUGAAAGGAUAACCCAUUUCCUGUGCAGCGUUUUAAUUACUGUUAAGAUUAAUGUUUUAAAUAUUUUUGUAUACCCUUUCAUCCCAAAGAGAAAUACUAUUUUUUUUAAAAAGCCUCACUAUCAAGGAACUGAAGUGGAAUCCUGUAGAAUGGAAGGAUAUGCCUACACAUCACUAUGUGAUAAAGUUAUAUUAUUGCAGAGUAUGUAAAGAAUUCCUAAAAUUCUAUAGCAGGAGACAAUUCAGUUUUAAAAUGGUCAAGAAAGACACAUUUCUCUCAGGAUAGGCAAAUAGCCAGUGAACACACUGAAGAUGCUCAAAACCACCAAUCACUACCAAAAGCAAUCAAAAUCUCAAUGUGGUACCAAGGGGCAUGCUCACUAGAGUGAGUCUAGUUUAUAUUUUAAGUUUAGAAAAUGUGUUUUAAGGAGAAAAUGGAACUCCCAUCUGGAUUCUAAUGGGAAUGCAAUGUGUUAUAGUGACUGUGUGCAUUGUUCUUCAAAAAGUUAAGCAUGGGAUGGCAACAUUAUCUAGCAACCUUACUGUUAACUAUAUAUCUCAUAGAACUGAAAACAAUCUAAAUGUGAUAUUUGUAUUCGGAUUGCUAUUGUAGUCUUAAUCACAGUAUCCACAGAGAAAAAUAUUAUAAAUAUUCAUCAAUAAAUAAAUGAAUAAAAAUAUUACCAUAUUCUGUAG